CCAAUAGCGUAUAUUAAAGUUGUUGCAGUUAAAAAGCUCGUAGUUGAAUUUCGGGGUCAGAAGGUCGGUCGUGCCAAUGGUAUGCACUGGCCUUUCUGAUUCCUCCCUCUUGAUGAGCCGUAAUGUCAUUAAUUUGGUGUUGCGGGGAAUCAGGACUGUUACUUUGAAAAAAUUAGAGUGUUUAAAGCAGGCAGGCGCUUGAAUACAUUAGCAUGGAAUAAUGAAAUAGGACGUUCGAUCCUAUUUUGUUGGUUUCUAGGAUUGACGUAAUGAUUAAUAGGGAUAGUUGGGGGCAUUAGUAUUCAAUUGUCAGAGGUGAAAUUCUUGGAUUUAUUGAAGACUAACUACUGCGAAAGCAUUUGCCAAGGAUGUUUUCAUUAAUCAAGAACGAAAGUUAGGGGAUCGAAGACGAUCAGAUACCGUCGUAGUCUUAACCAUAAACUAUGCCGACUAGGGAUCGGAUGAUGUUAAUUUUUUAAUGACUCAUUCGGCGCCUUACG
rnacentral:rRNA from 1 species